AGCUCCAAUAGCGUAUAUUAAAGUUGUUGUGGUUAAAAAGCUCGUAGUUGGAUCUCGGCGGUCUGAGGGCGGUUCGCUUGAUUGAGUGCUACUGCUCUAUAGGCCGUGGUUUUGCCAGAGGUCUCGGGGUGCUCUUUACCGAGUGUCCUGCGAUGCUGGCAGGUUUACUUUGAAAAAAUUAGAGUGCUCAAAGCAGGCUUUUACGCCUGAAUAUUCGUGCAUGGAAUAAUAGAAUAGGAAGUCGUUUCUAUUUUGUUGGUUUUCGGAAAUCGACUUAAUGAUUAAUAGGGACAGUUGGGGGCAUUAGUACUUGACUGUCAGAGGUGAAAUUCUCCGAUUUGUUAAAGACUAACUUAUGCGAAAGCAUUUGCCAAGGAUGUUUUCA
rnacentral:rRNA from 1 species